AGCUCGAAAAACUUCAUCAAUUCUUCCAAGCGCUACGCGAUUCGGAUUAAACGACGGUUCCAUGCGGAGCAGAAUAAGAAGAAGAAAGAGAAAGACAUGCGGAAGAAACUAGGGAACUGGGUAUACGACACGACCUCUUUAUAAAAUUCUUCCUCAAAACACAAAAGCCACCUGUUACACCGGACAAGCGCUUAACGUUUAACUACUACGAUAAACGUCUGGAAUAUUUUCCCAGCGAUUCUUACAGGUGUACGCAUACGCAUGUGAUAAAUAAUAGUAGACAAUCUCCGAUUGUUGUUAGGUGUACGUGCACAUGCCUUUAUAUUUUAUGCAGAUGCACCGCGAGAAGGUAGGUCGUAUCGAACGGUUGAAAUUAUUCACGAGUUUAUAAAUCCCCGAAAUUCAUUCCGUGAAGCAGCGCACGCAUUGCUCGGGCGUCGUACGGCUCUCAUAUCCAUGAUCGACGGUGCAGCGUACUUAUAUUAAAUGGUUAUGAGGUAUGCAAACUUGGAAUAAUAUAUAUAGUAUUAGUACACGUACGUGUACGUACGUACAUUACACACCAGACACCACCGACACUUUGUGUGUAUGUAAUAUACUUUGCGAUGCGAGCUGUUUCUGCUGCUACUUCUGCUACUUCUUCUUCUUCUUCUUCUUCUUCCUCUACCCGGUUAUAAAGGUACCAAUUUAUUAUGCAUCGCGUACCCGUUGUGUUACCUCUUUCGAUAAACGGUUCUUUGUUAUUUUUCAACGUCUCUCCUAACCGCCGCAACCAAUAAUGUGAACAUUAUACGUACAAUAAUCUCAUCGAAUGCGCGAAAUGCGGUGACGCAAUAUUUUUCGGAUCUGCAUAAUUUUUCCUGAACCAUUUCGCACUUGGUUUUUUGUCUUCGUUAUCAAACGCGUUGUAAUGAUGUUGGAAAGAGAACCGUUAACGGACAAAGCCGUGGCUGGGUUCAUUAUACGUAAUACGUGUGCAGAAAAAAUAUUCUAACGUGCCAUUAUUAUACAGUAUAGUGCACGUUUGUAUUUUAUAUGGUUUGUACGUAUAACGUAAAGACGUGUUCCCACGUGCGGUGAUUUGUACGUACGUACGUUGCAGUGUGACGUGUUAUACUGUGCCUACGAAUUACGUCCCAUCGGCGUUGUUUCCAAUGCGGUCUUAUACGAAACUGUAAAAUACCGUGCUUGUCUAGCGGUGUAUAUCACAUGUGUAUGCGAAAAAAUCUACAGCUAUACAGGUACGUACGUAUCGACGCAAGAUUUGCCUUCCUCAAGAGUAGCUGGGAAUAGAGAAUAUACACGUAGGUAUAUGUAUAUACGUAUGAUAGACGUGUGCGGCUCGCUGAUUAUUUCCGUUCGACGUUAAUUGUCUGAACACGUCGCCUUUAUCUAGGAAAGAAAAAUAAGAAGAAGAAGACGACGAAGACGAUGAAGACGAAGAAGAAGAAGAAGAAGAAGAGGAAGUAGUGCGAAAGGGGGAUAAAAGAAAUACGCGAGGUGGUGGACGGACUUGAAAGAGAAGCUCGAAAGACUGGAAGACUAGAGCCACUUACACUUUACAGUUAACAACGGAGGAAGGGGACAAACUAAAGAAGCCCCCGGAUAUUCUCGAUUCUCGAUAUGCUCCUCUUCCUUGAAUUUUGGAUAUCGUUGAGAAUUCGCAUUGACGGAAGGAAGUCGUCGAGUUUCAACUGAAUUCUCUCAAUCUGUUAUUGGUUGAAAUCGCCUUGGGCAUCGGGCGACUAGACCGUGGCUGCUGACCACACCGAGCAAUCUGACCUAGAGUAAAGAAGUUAUGCCGCGGAUCUGGAUCGGACGGGAUCGCUCGUCGAUCUGAAGCUGAACCCGUUGCGUCUUGUUGUCUUCUGCGUCUUUUUACUCCCGAGAAUCACGAGGGGAUCGAGCUGUCGUACGAGAAGAGCUAGUCGCGGUUCGAUACGAUCCUUCUCUUCAGAUCUCACAGAAGGAGCAGUUCUUCAACGCGUUCAGUGGUAGUCUGCCCGUUCAGAGGAUACCCGGAACGAUGACCAUCCGAAAGACAAAACAGAGGAGAAGGAAUUAUCGCGAUCUCAACUGUACCGCAAUGGAUAGUUGCGCGGUCGCUGGAGAUUUUUCUUUUCCACACCCUCGGCCGAAUCAUCCGAUAUAUCGUGGGUUCUGAUGCUCGUGUAUAAAUAAUAUCGAAGCUAUCAUUAUACGGUCUAAAUAUCGACGAUAGGAAUGAGACGAAGAGUAAGAGGGCGAAGAAUGUACGGAGAAAAUGGCCCGAAGGGUAUCAGCGGCACGUGACUUUUGAGAAUGAAACUUUUGGCAGUAUACGAUCUUCUUCGGCCUCCUACCGAUGCACAUGAGCUGCGUCAGCCCGAUACUCCUGUUUCUGCUCCUGCUCCUGCAGCUAGCUCGGAGUCUUCUUCCCGCCACUUGUGUGCUCGAUGGACCACAUUCUCUCCCCUCCAUGAAUUUACCGCCGAACUAUAUUCGUUUCCUUGUCACUCUAUCAGUGUUGCUGCUGCUGUUGCAGCUUUUUUUCAGUUUCCCAUACCUAUAUACGAGCGAUUUCGGUGUGCAUAGGGUAAGGUGGGGCAAAACGGGGUAGCUGGGCAAAAUCGGGUACCCCGAAAAUUUGGUAGAAAUUUUUUCAAAACGAUCGAAAAGGACUCCGAACGUCGUUCCGGAUGGAAAUUGAGUUCUUUUUUUUUUUCUACGGUCUCCCGAAGGACCCCGUUUCGCCCCGUCUUUUCCCAUACCGCGAUAUGGGAUGAACAUACGGAGGGUAUAUGUAUAUAUAUGUGCCACAGGUAACGAAUAACUUGGAUGAGCAGCACGCGCGAAAUUAUUCCCUUCGAAUUCCCGUGCACGGGCAGCUGGGAAUCCUUGGAAUCUCUUUCAAAUAUAGUCAAUAUAUUUUUCAUCAUACACGCGGCUGUACCCGUAACACGCGCGCGUUAAAGGGGAUCGUAUAAGAUCGAGGGAUUAUCAUUCGUUGCGGAAUGCGGAUUACGAAUACGAGAAAAUAUAAAUUACCAACGAUACGUGAAAUUUUUUUGACUUUUUUUUCUACGUAUAGGUAUAUAUGUUACCUCGUGAGUGCGGGCGCUAAGGCGCUUCCUCGUUUUACCCGGAGCUUUGCGGCUUCGCGUGCCGCAUACCGGCAGCAACGAUCAGCGACUUCCUCUCUGCACGUAUAUACCUCGACGAAAGAGCUGCUGAUUCCGCCGCUAUUGCUUUUUCCUUUUUCCUUUUCCUUCUUCUUUUUAUCUAUCUUCGACUUUAUUUUAUAAUUACGCCUUGUAAUUGGGCUGAUUCAGCGACGAUGAUUUCCGUAUUAUUUCUUUACUCUUCUCUUUAUAUACUGUUGCAAUUAUUAUGUUAUACUAUUGUUGAAAUUAUUUUUCAUUAGACAGCACGACAACACUUUUAUUUCUUCUCCUCAAAUAUCAAUGAUAUGAUAUACGGACGUAUAAAUAUAUUUUUAUAUAUUUUCUCCUAUUUACUCAUCAAUUUUUUAAUUUUUUCAUCACAUACAUAACUCACAGCAUCACCGCGCGCCUGAGAAGAGU